GAAGAUACAAACUUAAUAGAUACUCAUUACAGUUGGUGGCGUCAUGGACUAAGAGCCAGGGCGGCUAGACCUUCGUCAUUUUAUAAAAACUGAAAGAUUCUCUGGGUAUUAUGCCCAUCACAGGGAGGAACAAUCAGCGAAUAUGAAAUUUGGAUCAUGGUGGCUUUGGAAAAUAACCUAUUAAAGGUGUAAAAAAACUUACGCCAAAGUAUGAAGACUAAUUUUUUGUAUUUUCGUCGGAAUAGUAU